CCUGGCCCGGCACCUGGCGCCCGCGGAUCCCGGCCCCGCUUUCCUCCCGCAGCCCUGCAGCCUCCGCGGCCCGGGCGCGCCCUUCAGGGACCGCAGCGCGUCACCUCGCCUCCGGAGAAGAAUUGAACCCAAGACCUUUCCGGGAAUGGGACAACAAACACUUCAGCCAACUGAACCGUACCGGCCAGGGCUUCAGAUCCACUUUUAUGACUUGACAUUGUCAUUCUGAACUUUCCAAGACUGCCCUACUUCACUUAGAAUGAUGCUCUCCACGUCCAUCCAUGCUGUUGCAAAUGCUCUUGGACCAGUCUUCUUUCCAAGCUUCAGGUCAUCGGGCAUCAUAGUCACGGGGUACUCUGGAGGAAUGAAUGCUUCUAUCUCAAUGGGCUCAUUAGAGGAGUUGCUGAACUCCAAGCUGAGGACAGGAAGGAGAUUGUUUGCAACCUUUGGUGAGGAGGAGUCUUCCUGAACCACUGUAAUGCUCACAGACUUGACAAGGGGCAGAGCUGGAGGCAAGACUACAGAAGAUAGCAUCCUGCCAGGUGGAGAGAAACUGGAUUGUCAUUCAUUUCCUCUGGAGAAAUGGCUGGGUCUAAAGGAAAGAACCUGCUGGCUUGAUCCUUUCCUCACAAGGCGUCUUCGAUGCUGAUAGAACAAAGUUCCAGGCACCUACGUGCAGAUCAAAUUGGGUUGUGAUCUCUUUGCUGUGGCAAUACUUAUAUUCUAAGGGUCCUAUUUUUGUUCCUUGAUGAGGCUCUUGACCUCUGUUGUUUGUGGCCCCAUGUCACACAAUCAAAUGUUCUCAUCCUGUUCAACAUUAGAUAAAGAUGGAAGAUGAACAGGCACUCAAUCAGCAGGAGGCAGAUGACGCCGAACACCAGCACAAACACCCUGAUUAUCAUGAGCACUGCAGUCUUGGCCUUUCGGUGAAAAUAUGGCAGGAACAACAGCCACGUGUUCUGCUUGCCAACAUUUCCAUUGGAACACCCACAGGUUGAUGUACUGGAUUAAAAUGUACAAGAGGAUGAUAACCAAGCACAAUAACCCAGGCAGAGGCCACAGAGCUGAAGAACCACCAGUAAUUCCUGCUCCUGAUGAAGUUUUGAGCCAUUGGCAAUGAUGGACAAAGCCGGCGGUGCACUUGCAGAUGCUCCGGUGUUUGGCUUUUGUGCUCACAGUGACCCCUCACAGAGAGCAAUACUGAUUCUCCAGGACAUGAUGGUGUUUAGAUCGGUCCAACAUAAGCAGCCGUUGACUGUAGGUGAUCUUGUGUAGAAUGCUCACUUCAGGCGUAACCAUGGAGGCAGACACAAAGUGCAUGAUGAUAUGAAAAAGGAAUAUUCCACCAGUCUGCAGGCAGUGUACUUCCUCUCAUGCAGUGCACUUCCUCUCAUAGGACUAAAAAUUCAAAACAUGGCUAAGGCCAAGGUCUGGAACAUGGCCCAGGAUAUCGCCUGGUGUUUGGACAGGCGAGGCAGCCGUGGGUUCUGGGAGGACCUGUCUCUGGCUCCUGCCACAGCAGUCCAUCUUAAUAAUAUCAUCCGUUCCUCCGGCAACAGGUUUUGAUUUGAGUACUUCUGUUUGUUUCUCCCUUCUGUACAUCUUGACUUACUUUCUGUAUUAGCAUCAUUUGCUUCUUGACAAUCUUGAUAAGAUCUCCCUUGACUAAUGUUCCAGCCUUCACUCUUCAGGGAGCCUGCUAGUCAAGUAUUCUCUUUGCCUUAGAUUUCCCACUUCCAGAAGUGGCUGGAGAAGCCACCCCAUCUUGAACAAGAUCCUCCAUGGCCACAGGCCACCAUGGCCACAUGGUCCACAGCUGGCAGCCUGGGGGCCACUGCAACCACCUGGCCCCUAGUCUGGUCACAGCCGUCUCUGCUCUUCUGACUGCAGCGCCUCUAACUUUGUAAUCCUAUUUCUUAAUUUGAUAAUUUUCUACUUCAUCUGUUGACUUGCUAUUUUCAUAUCAUGGUAAAUGAGGAUUUAUUUAUAAUUUAGAUAUUUGUAAUUUUUCUCCUACCCUCAUCCUUCCAGUAGAGUUAUAUUACAAUUUUUUUGUUAAAUCAAUCAGUCUUAUCUAUUUAUAGUUAAGUGUAAAUAAAAAAAGAAAGUAUGUGCUGCU